CUGCUAGCCUCUUGUCAACCCGGUCUCUGGGGUAGACAUAACAUAGUAAAAUGUAAAUCCAGGAUACUUAUGAUAUGUUACAUUUUGUAUGGCUGCAAUCCACUCCCAGUUAAGCGGGGUCCGGUCAGGCCUCCGUCAGCUCCAAAAUGCCCUGGGGGAUGUGAUGGACAUCCAGAACUUUCUUUCUGGUAGAAGUCAGCAAUAACUGGAGGCAAAACAUUAACACCAUUGAGAACCUGAAGUACGUCAAAUAUGCUGGGACGCAACAUCAGCGGUGGCUCCUCAGAGGAGGAAAGUGAGGACCAUUCUCCUCAGUGAAUAUAUUUAGCAUACAUAUAUUCACAUCACUAAAUAAUUCAUUAGAACACACUGUUUUGCAAUGAAGGUCUACAGUACCCUCAACAGCACUCUCUGGGGUAGCACAAUGGUGUAGCUGGAGAACAGAUAGUUUCCGUCCUCCUCUGGGUACAUUAACUUCAUUACAAAACCUAAGAGGCUCAUGGUUCUCACCCCCUUCCAUAGACUUAGAGUAAUUAUGACUGUAUUCGAGGGUGAUGCCUCUGGAAUUUAUGCACUGAUUGAGUAGGUGAAGUUAUGGAGAUUGUGCUCUUAUUAGAGAAAUGGUGAGAGAGACAGUUCCUCAGUUUAGGGUUAUUUGAUGUUGAUUGGAGAUGAACAAUGUUUGCAAUUCUGUGCCAUGUCACUCAGCGGUGAUUAUUCAAUGAACUGUCCUUUUAUCCAUACAAGAUGUGGUCUGGAAAUAAUAAUACACAUGAAUACAAUGACAUCAAUAUACUAAUAUUUUUCAACUGUGCUGUUUCACAAAAGUUAUAUUUUACAGACACAGUAUAUUUUACAUGAGUUAUCUUGUUAUUUUUAGUCCCACCCUUCAGCUCCAUGGUUUGACUUUGAACGUUUUUUUUGCCUGGUCACCGACAGCUGUUUCUUAAACAGAAGCAAAUGGAACUCAACAGGGAUGGAUCUACCUAAAUUUGUCCAAUAGAAACUCUCGUUUUGGACUAAUGAUUACACCCUAGAGUAACCAGAUGCAGACAACAGUGUGCAAGGCGGUAUUGAAUGUGUCACUGUCUGUAACCUUGAUUACUCAAAUGUUUCUCUCGACCUGUGCACCAACGUUGUAAACUUUAAUUCGUAGGUUGUAGCAACCUUAUGAUGGGUAUAGGGAAAGUUGUGUAUCAUAUAGUAGCCUAAACCUACUGAUGUUACAUUAAGCUGGGUGAAUGGAAUAUGAAUAACAGUCAUCCAAUAUUCUGUAAUAGAAGUAAAGCCAUGCUCAUAAAAAAAACGGCACCUACCGCCACUGAACACAGUCAGCUAGCCUCAGCUGUGGAGAACCUGAAGAAUAUAUUUUCAGGUAUAUUCAGCUGUAACAUUACAUGUGAUUGGGAACUAUUACUGUUGGUUUGCAUUGCAUUUGAUGUGACACUACAGUAUUUGUGUUGUAAUAUUUCUCCUACAUUCCUGUGCAGUGCCUGAGUUGGUGGCAGGACACUCCAUUAAUGAUAGAGCAAGCCGAGCUGUUGAAGGGCCACCACAAGCUGAUGAACCUGGAGUGCUCAUGGAAUGACUUCAUGUACGAUCAGUACAGGAUGGGCAGCAAGAACACACACAACAUGAACCUCAAUCCAACAAGAUUGUGUCCCUCCUCACCUGGGUCCUCAAUUAAAGGGAAACUUCACUGCUAGCCACUAUCUCCCUACAUCAUUUUAAGUGAUGAGAGGGUGUUCCUGACAUAAUUAUGCAGCAUAGAGGUAUUUUUGAAUUUUCGCAACGGCCUUUGUGUUACGCCGAUUGUACAAUCACACUAGCAGUGAGUAGAUAUGGUUGUCCUUGUUCAAUAGAGCCAUUGGACUUGUCUCAACGAUGUUCCUAUCUGACACAACAUUGCAGGAUAUCUAGGUUGACUCAUGUUCUCUGGCUUUUUUUAAUGUUCUUUUACAUACUAACAUAGGGACAUACUGCCCUAUUAAUUUGAGCCGAAAUACAGUGAAGAGGAGUUGAGACGGCGAGAACAAGAAUUGCGAGGCCAGCAAGCAGCGAUGGGGAGCCACGGGCAGACUUUGACCAGCGGUGCCUAUGUGGGUGCUGUCCAGCCACGCCGACAGAAGAGAAAUGUCUGUGCUGCAACUAAUUAGAUUGUGGACGGUUCAUACUGGAGAUGGUCACUGCAGACCCCAUGGAUUGUGUGUCUGAUACAGACCAUCAAAGUUUUGACGCAGAUAUGGAUAGAAGUGUGCUGGAGACAUUUUUCAGAACCUCCAAGAUCAAAUGGCGGCGGCAGCCUAGACCAGCGGGGUAGUACGUUGUUUUGCUGUUGGUAGCUACUAGCUAGCUAGUAAUAUAAGCUCUCUUUUCACAUGAGGCAGUGUUGUUCAGUACAGUAUAAUUUUGUGAUUGAUUCGGCCAUAUCGGGGCUUGCUAGUACCACUACAAGUUGAACUAGCUAGCUUUGUUUGCUAUACCCAAAAUGUCCCGUAGCCUAAUGUUAUCAUUAUCUAGCUAUUGUAAGCUAGCUAGCAAUGCUAGCCUCAGUGCAUCUUAUUAGUAGCAAAAAUGGAUAAAUGUUUUGAUGAUGAUGACGAAGAGUAAAGAAAUGACUUUGGAUUUAUGACUCAUAUUGGUCUACCUGUGUGUCUGUGAGAUUUGUAAUAUUCUGCAUCAUGAUGCUACAGUAGGAAUACAGACAGUACACAAUGAUUGGCCAUUAAAGUCUAAUAGUGUUUUGUCAUUCUCUUACAGACAAUACUGCUUGGUGAAAGAUUAUAUUUGGAGAUGGUUAUCGGUGUCGGAGAAGCUAGGCACAGAACACUGAAUUCCCUGAAAACAUUUCCGGCACCUACUUCAGUCCAAGUCAAGCACUGGUCUAACUGAAUGUGGAUGUUGUGUUGCCUGAAUGUUCCAGGCACAAUCCAGAAUGUUCUUCUGCUGGUGAACCUUGUCUUGUGUUGUGCAAUGGCAGCUGGUCUGGCAGAAGUUCAUGAGCUCAAUGACCUUGGACUCAUCGACUCAUAGAUUUCGGCUCUUGCCAGCCCCAUGCAGUCUUUUCCUCUUCCGA
ensembl:lncRNA